UUUAUUUAUAUAUCUAUUUUGGCUUUUCAGCAUGUCUAUUAUUUUUAUGUCUCCUCUAGUCUUGUCUACUGUCCUAAAAUCAAGUGAAGUCUGAUAAUACCCCACUGUCCCCACCAAAAGCAAACAAACACAAAAAUAAACAGAACUCAACUAAACCUCCCUAUUCAAACUAGUGGAGAUCUUCAUGGCCAAAGAAUACCCCAGAUUACUAAAGGCAUCUCAGAACAGUCAUUUUGCAGGCUUUCAGUUUCUGCUUUCCUUUUUUGCCUGCAAUUUUGCACAAUCAAAUGCACAAAAACAAUGGGAAAGGGGAUUACGUCAAAUGUACGAAAGAAAUGGCAGGAAUCCAGUGGGAAAGACAUGCCCUCCACAUUUGGCAGGAGGCGUGCUGGGAGGCAGUGGCUUUGCAGAGUGAUGAGUCACACUUGAACAGAGGCUCUGGAAGGAAUUAGUUCAAGAGAAGGCUGGAGAGCUCCCUGAAAUGUAUGAGUGCCUCAGGCCAUUAGCAAUGUGUGUGUGAUCACAAUGAGACAAAGGAAACCCUGAGAUCCGCAGACUUUCUUUCAGGAACCAGCAGAGUGUCCCUAGCUGCUCUUUCCUCCCUGGUGGGUGUAAAACCACAGCCCUUCUGUUUUAGUGGGAAAACGUUUCAAGAGGACCACUUUUUAGAAAACUUUGUCUGGGCCAAAGAAUGCAAUAUGAGUGUAAAAUACGUAAAUAGAUAAAGCAAGCCAUGACUCUGAAGGAGAGAUUUGAUCUGCUCAAAGGUCAAUUGGGCCACAAAAUUAAUGAGCUUGAGAAAGACAGGACAAGAGAUGGGAGAGAAGAAAUCUGUGUGUUGAACUCUGCAUCAAUUAACAAAAGCAAAGUUGGCCAUGCAGAAAUCUAAUAAUGUCAAACCAUUGCCCUCAAGGAUGUGAUAAUAAUGACUUCUGCUUGGAGAUGGCAACCAGUUAAUGCAGUAUACUCAGGAGGGCUUUUGAAAGACUGCAAUACAAUUUCCCCAUUUUACAGAUAAAGAAACUGAGGUAUAUUUGAAAAUGGAAGAAAUAACAAUUUUAAUGGUCAGAUGCCAAAAUAUUAAGGUGACAGGGCUGGGAUUUGACACCAAGCCUGUCUCCUUCCAAAGUCUGUUCUUUAUGAUAUCACACAAUGCUGCCUCUCCAUUGAAAAGAUAAGUUUAUUAUGUUUUUAAGUAGUAGAUUGCUUCUUAAAGCAUUUUAUUAACUAUUGUUUUAUCCUCAAAGAAUCUUUUCAGUUUAAUAGGUAUUGUUAACUUUUUGUUAUAGAAAAAGAAACUG
rnacentral:lncRNA from 1 species